ensembl:lncRNA
AUCACAUUAAUUUAUUUGUGUCAUUAGAGCUUUUCAUUCUUGAACUUUCGACUCAGACAUGGUGUGUAUCAUAUAUAAAUCACUUCCUGGUUUUAUUAAAAUUGCAGAUAAUGUUAACAUCACAUGUUUUUAGUUAAAUUUUUUUUAAACCAGUCAGUUAGUCUUAUAACUAUGAUAAUUAAAUUAUAACCGUAAUAACAUUGAUUAUAGAUGAUAGUAAUCUCAUUCACUGACCCCACUUUUUGACAACCAUGAGUUUAGAUAAUGACACUUCUUAUUAUCAACACUACUGUGUCUGUUACCCCCACUGAGAAGCUAGUGAUCAAGGGGAAGUCAAUAAAUGUCAAAAGGAUGCUAUAAGUGAUCAUGUAUGCAUAAGCAGAAUCAAAUCCUACCAGGGUUAUAUAUGAUUAAAGUGGUACCCAAUGAGAAAAGCCGAUAAUAGAGAUAAUUAAAUAGGCUAUAGUAACAAUAAUAAUGUUAAUUGUGAUAAAAUAUUGUGAUAUGAGCAAUGUCUACUUCCAUUCCUUCUAAAUGUUUUUGUAAAGGGCUAAUAAGAUAGAGAAAUUGUAGUAGAAAUUGAGAAAGAUAAUAUAUGGAGUAUGCUGUUAUAGCCCCCAAGACCCAUUGAGAUUGUAAAAGAUACACUAUGAGAGCAUAAGAAUCACUGAAAAGGCCAGGAUUGGUGGGUCAAAAUGUUCUGUACUACAGAACUAACAUCCCCUGAAUUACUCCAGCCAGUUCAGUCCAAAUACAUUUCAAACACACAUUUUUUUCACAUUGUCAUUUCUUGUACACCAAAAUAUACACAGACAUACAGAUACUGAUAAGGGGCUGGUUCAAAUUCACUCGAAGUGCUGUGUUGUUGAUGUUACUAAUAGAGCCACCACUUCCAGAAAAAAGAAGGCCACAAAAUGUCAAACAAAAAUUGUAUUCAUUUUCUUUAUCUGUUUUAACAAGUGGUCACUUUUGUAUGUUUGGAUUUGAAAACAUUAUUAAAAAAGUCCCUUGUUGACUCGACAAAGGCAGAUUGGGAUAACAAAGAGACACAAAGCUUCAUCAAUGAGAACAUAUCCACUAAGGCAAAGCCUUAAAUUCAUCCACAUCUUGACACUAUUAAACAUUAAGAAAAGCCAUUUUUGCAGGUUAGCUAUUGUGCUACAUGCCAGUGUUGCCCCAGGUAAUCUAAUCAUCUAUAUUGCAUUUAAAAUGCAUUUUUCAAAAACUAAUCUGAAACAUCAAAGACAAUCACUGCAGCAAUGUUGGUUUCUGAACUGAACGGAACAUCUUUGCAAAGCAAAAUCUCUGCCAUGCGCUGCUCCCAAUGUAAUAACCAUACUAGUGUCAUGUCGUAUACAGUAAAGGAUACAGUAACACUAUAUUUUGUCUUAAAAGCACCAACAGCGUACUAUGAGCACCAAUGCCAGCAGAUUUGAAAGUUCUGCAUGCAAUAAUGCAACGUCUCUAAGAGACACCACAGAGGAUACAAUCUGUAUUUUCUGAGCUAAUGUUAAACAUCUAGCUUGUUACUUUCACACACUGUGCCUGUGUUUGACAUUUUGUGCAAUAUCAUUCCAUCCUCAAAUUCUCCUAAAAUUUCACUUUCUACAAAAGAAAAUGCUUGCAUCCUCUGCAAAUUCCUUACUUUUCAUUUAAAACCGAACAUCUCAACCACAGAGCCAGUUUAAGAGGAUCUUAAUAUCAUCAAGCAUUACGGUGCAGUAUUGAUUUUGAAUGAAAUUAGCCUCACAUUUUUUUUUUCUCUGAAGUUCAUCCCGUGAAACACUCAUACAAAUAAUGAGAACCAUUAACAGCUGCUUUGUAAACUGAAUGUGCAAAAUCAUCCCUGCUGGUCUGUCCUUCCUCUUUAAUAGGAAUUUAUUUCCUGUCAAAAUCUUGCAUAUGUGAGAGAGAGAAAAGCUUGUGUGUGUGUGUGCAUGUGUUUGCAACUUCACAUGGGACAGUACACACUGGAAUGUUGUAAUCAACCCAGAAAUACAGUAGGACUUGAACAGUUCUCCAAUAGGAAUUUCUGCAUGAGUACAGACUUUACAUUGAGACACUUCUUAUCUUCACUUGAUUUUAUUGUUGUUGGGUUUUUUUUUCUCGUUUGCAUCCAGUGUGUUUUGUCCACAGGGGUUGUUUUGCUGAGCAAGGACUGUAGGACCAACCUCACACUGACAAAGAGCGAGAGCACAGCAUCACCUCUAUAAACCCAUGAUACAUAUAGACCGUUAUAUGCACCACAGAAUACACUCAUCAUACAUAUCAUUGUAUGUGUUUUUAUAUAUAGAACAUAUAAAUACACAGCAAUAGAGCAAAGGCAGUGACAAUGCUUCUCAUAUUGAAGGAAAGGCGGGUUAUUAUUGUAUAUCAUAAUAUACUUUUUUGUUCUUUUAGAAAAAUAUCUAUUUUUUAAACCAAAACCAGCCGCACCAAGCUCACCCUUUUUUCUUCAUUAACAAAAAUAACCAUUUUACAUUUUUACACAUUCUUACAUUACAAUCAUUGUAUAUAUAUAUAUAUAUAUAUA